AUUGAACGCUGGCGGCAUGCCUUACACAUGCAAGUCGAACGGCAGCGCGGGGCAACUUGGCGGCGAGUGGCGAACGGGUGAGUAAAAUAUCGGAACAUACCCUAGAGUGGGGGAUAACGUAGCGAAAGUUACGCUAAUACCGCAUACGCACUAAGGUGGAAAGUGGGGGAUCUUCGGACCUCAUGCUCAUGGAGUGGCCGAUAUCUGAUUAGCUAGUUGGUGAGGUAAAGGCUCACCAAGGCGACGAUCAGUAGGCUGGUUUGUAGGAGAACGACCAGCCACACUGGAACUGAGGACACGGUCCAGACUCCUACGGGAGGCAGCAGU
rnacentral:rRNA from 1 species